GGCGUGCCUAACACAUGCAAGUCGAACGAAGCAUGACCCUUGAGGCCUUCGGGCGGAGAGGGGCAUGACUUAGUGGCGGACGGGUGAGUAACGCGUGGGUAACCUGCCCUAUACUGGGGGAUAACAGCUAGAAAUGGCUGCUAAUACCGCAUGAGCGCACAGUCCCGCAUGGGACAGUGUGGAAAACUCCGGUGGUAUAGGAUGGACCCGCGUCCGAUCAGCUGGUUGGUGGGGUAACGGCCCACCAAGGCGACGAUCGGUAGCCGACCUGAGAGGGUGACCGGCCACAUUGGGACUGAGACACGGCCCAAACUCCUACGGGAGGCAGCAGUGGGGGAUAUUGCACAAUGGGGGGAACCCUGAUGCAGCGACGCCGCGUGAGUGAAGGAGUACUCCGGUAUGUAAAGCUCUAUCAGCAGGGAAGAAGCAAGACGGUACCUGACCAAGAAGCCCCGGCUAACUACGUGCCAGCAGCCGCGGUAAUACGUAGGGGGCGAGCGUUAUCCGGAUUCACUGGGUGUAAAGGGAGCGUAGACGGCCGAUCAAGUCUGGAGUGAAAGCCCGGGGCCCAACCCCGGGACUGCUCUGGAAACUGGUGGGCUAGAGUGCUGGAGAGGUACGUGGAAUUCCUUAGUGUAGCGGUGAAAUGCGUAGAUAUUAGGAGGAACACCAGUGGCGAAGGCGGCUUACUGGACAGUGACUGACGUUGAGGCUCGAAAGCGUGGGGAGCAAACAGGAUUAGAUACCCUGGUAGUCCACGCCGUAAACGAUGGAUAAUAGGUGUCGGUGGGCAAAGCCCAUCGGUGCCGCCGCAAACGCAGUAAGUAUCCCACCUGGGGAGUACGUUCGCAAGAAUGAAACUCAAAGGAAUUGACGGGGACCCGCACAAGCGGUGGAGCAUGUGGUUUAAUCCGAAGCAACGCGAAGAACCUUACCAAGUCUUGACAUCCCCCUGACCGGCCCGUAACGGGGCCCUUCCUUCGGGACAGGGGAGACAGGUGGUGCAUGGUUGUCGUCAGCUCGUGUCGUGAGAUGUUGGGUUAAGUCCCGCAACGAGCGCAACCCUUAUCCCCAGUAGCCAGCAGGUUAAGCUGGGCACUCUGAGGAGACUGCCAGGGACAACCUGGAGGGAGGUGGGGAUGACGUCAAAUCAUCAUGCCCCUUAUGAUUUGGGCUACACACGUGCUACAAUGGCGUAUACAGAGGGAAGCGAGAGGGUGACCUGGAGCCAAUCCCAAAAAAGACGUCCCAGUUCGGACUGUGGUCUGCAACCCGACCACACGAAGCUGGAAUCGC
rnacentral:rRNA from 1 species